rnacentral:lncRNA from 1 species
AGGUCGCUUGGUGCUUGAUACUUGGUGUCGCGCGAUUAGCUAAAUUCCUACGAAGGUGUUGAAAUUUUCUUGCAAGAAUUAAGUCCUUGACAGGAUCAUUGGUACGUUUGGUAUGAUCGAUACGUCCGCCAAUCCAUGAGCUGCUUGUUUGGUGGUUGGGGCUGGAUCGAUCUCCUCAUCAGGAAGUAUAUCCUACUAAAAAAAAUAUCUAUCCACUUGGCAGUCUCGAAAAUUCGUGGCUAUAAGAUGAUUUUUUAUAAAAAGUCACGAAUUAUUUGAGUUACGACGCUAUAGUCACAAAGAUUAAGGCACAUUCACGAAUAUUAAGGCUCUAGCUAGAGUCUUAUGUAUAUAUAGGGAUAAAUAAGACUAUCGGAUCUUCACUAUUAGGUUCGGUCAAAAACGUC